UAUCCCACUUCUGAUCUUAGAAAUCAGAAGUGAAAGAGAAUUUUAUUUUAAAAAAACGAAUAAGACACGGAGUAACUUUACAAGAUUUAUUCAUUUACAUCAACUAAGUAAAUGUUUAUCGACACAAGUACAAGUACGCGUUCUAUUAGCACUAGAGAGUACGUCCGUCGCUGCCGCGAGCUCGAAGCAAAGAGAGCGAUGCUACCGCAUGAUGCGACGUGGCGCACGCGGCGUUAUUGCCCCGCCCUCCGCGUUCCGUUGCACGACGUCACUGAGUAGAGGAGCCGGGUCGUGGGAAAGUUUCUAACACUAAACUAAACGCUAAUC